rnacentral:tRNA from 2 species
GCGGGAGUAGUUCAAUUGGCUAGAAUAUCAGCCUUCCAAGCUGAGUGUUGCGGGUUCGAGUCCCGUCUCCCGCUCCA